AAGAGUGGUUGGCAGCAACUCUUUCUUGGCUGUCACGUUUUUCCAGAAGUAGUUGGCACCUCUGAUUUACUUGAAAGAGGUCUUCAGUUCACUACUUAUUGACUGGGCAAAUGAAGAUCUCUUGGUCAUUGGGAUGCAAAAAGUAAAGCUUAGUCUAAACUUGUUUGGUUAAUGCCUCAAAGUAUUUAAUGAGAAAGGCAGAACAGUGAGCUAUUUUCUUGGUCCUUUUCCUCUCCACUGUUUAGGUCAUAAUUGUUUUUACAUCCAGAAUUUUCUUGAAAAUUUGCCCAGCUUUCUGAAUUUGUUUCUUUUCAUAUGCACAUCAUAUGGUAAAACCUGAAAACAAUUUAAAUAUUUAAAACACUUUCUCCAUUUCAACUUAAUGUCAUCAUUAAUUAUAAGGAAAAUCUGUUUUACAGGUUCAAAGAAGAAGAAAAGUGCCAAGCCUUUAAGUUUUAAGGUUGGAAUAGGCAAAGUUAUCAGAGGAGUAAGUAGAGAACGGCAAUACAUCAAUAGACUUUCUGGCACAUGCUACAUAUGGUAUGGUGCCAUAAUUAGGAUUGGGGAUAUUAUGGAAAAAAAAAAAAAAUCUUUGGAGUCUUGACAAAUAAGAUGCUAUCAUUGCUUCCUGAUCUGUGGGAUGAAGCACUCUUGACUAUGAGUAAAGGAGAAAAGGCUCGACUGGAAAUUGAACCAGAAUGGGCUUAUGGAAAGAAAGGACAACCCGAUGCCAAGUAUCCUUUUUUCCUUCAUAAUUUAACACUAAGAAAAAUCAUCUGAAGCUAUGAAAGACACUGUCUAGGGUAACCACCAAAUCAGUAAUUAAUUCUGUCCUGACCAGUCUUCGAAAUAUUUAGAUGCUUUUGUGACAAUUCCUCCAAUAUAGACACUUUCUAUUGGCACAAAGUAUUCAGACUUGAGCUGGAAUCUACUUAUUUUCAAAUUCUUAUCCAAGCUCUUAAUUUUCAAGACUUAAACUAUAUUGUUUCAUAUUUGAAAUUUUAUAAUAUUUGAAGUGUACUAUAAAGAAUGUAACAUGCCUAAAUGUAAAUAAUUGUAGCAAAUUAUAGGAUGCAAUUAUGGCUUCUGGUAAUUUUGUGCUAUAGUGUAACUUUAGGCAACUAGAUACCAAAUGAGUUGUGAAAUAAACACCACAGAUCCAACAUAGUAUAGCGUUUGUAAUUAUGCCUAGUGACAAUACUUAUAGUGAGAACGUAGUUUUGUUGGUUCAUUCCCAUUGAACUAGCUGGACCAAUUAGAAUAUAGAUUUUUUUAAAAACUGGUAAUCUCCCUCUAGUCUUUAUCUUGGGAAUAUAAUACACCCUUUUAACCUAUGAAAAUUACAUGGGCAACUAUAGCUCCCUCUCGUGAAGCAUCUCAAGACAAAUCAGAUAAAACCACUCUUCUCUAAACUCAACAUCUUAAAAGGCACAGCAAGUAUACACUACUUCAUAUGAAAUUUACUUAAUAUGAAAUUUAAUGUAGUACUGUAUAUACCCAGCUAAGUAAUUUUUUAUGUGUACUAAGUUAGCAAUCUUCAUUAAGUGAUUACUAAUUUGGGAGUAAUUGUGAGGCAUCCAGAUAAGGAAGAUGCUAGUUCAAGUUCAGUUUAUCUAAUGACUCUAUGCAUGAGCUCCAUUCACAAAAAUAAUGUUUUAGAAACUUUAGGCUGUAUGUAUUAGCCUCUGAAUCAAAGUCCUUUCUAUUGGUGUUUAUUAUCAGUAUUCAGUUUACAUACUUUAAUUUUAGAUUUAAGGUCAUUGGGAAUUAGGAGAAGAAAUUUUUAAUCAAAUUUACACCUUAACUUCUUAAACAGAAUUCCACCAAAUGCAAAACUCAUCUUUGAAGUGGAAUUAGUGGAUAUUGAUUGAAAUAGCGUGCUUCAGAUCUAAAGACAUAAGUGACAAUAAAAUAUGGCCUUGAAGAAAUUUAGGUUACUAGUUAGAGCUGGUUACUGUUUUAAGGAGUCAACUAGAAUAUUCAAGAAGUUAGAACUUGUUUACUUGAUCCCCAACUUUUAAGAAUUGUAAUCCCUUAUAAAUCCCUUAAGUCUAAAAUAUUUUACUACAGGUGUGUGAAGUACUGGUUAAGGAGAAAUGAUUUUCCUGUUACCUCAUGUUGUACACUAAAAAGGCUCUAAUAAAAAUGCAUCUAAUGUGUUGAUUUGUUUGGUGUUAAUAUUAACAUUCUGAUUACAAAAACUAGGACUAUGACUUCAUCAAAGCAAGGAAUAACUCACAGUAAAAUUGUCUGGACCACUUUGCCAAGGAUGUUCAUUAUCUUUUAAAGUAAAUAUUCCUAUGUAGCGGAGGCAAAGGAUAGCAGCUGAGAUGAAGCAGAAAGCUUUGGUCUAUAAAAUUUGGCAGGAUAAUGUCUGAAUUCAAGAAAAAUACACUUCCAAGCCAGUGAACCCAAUCAAUGAAUUUAUGGUGAAUAUAAAGUUAUUAUUUGAUGACCCCCCAAAUAAAUUCAUAACAAUUAGUGGAUGAGUCUUCAGUUUUAUUACAAAAAUGAAGGUGAUCAGGUCUGAUCAACA